GGAUUGCGGCUCAACCCGAUAACGAACAAACAUACCUGUUAUUCUGAAACUUUCUCAGAAUCGAUCUCCAGAAUCAUAAACAGGUUUGAUAAGAAAAAAUCUAUAAAUUGAACUGCCGCAAAUGCAAUUUCGAUAAAAAAUGAUUGUCACAAUAUAAUUCGUGCGUCACGAAGAAGAAAAUUAGUGGAAUCGUUGGGACAUUGUGUAUAAUCGUCACUAGAGAUAAGAUGUUUAUUUCAAGGAUUGAUACCUGUUACAUUCUUCCUACCUUAUCGACCAGUCGACAAGAAAAGAAGGCUAACAUCCGAGUAGAGACUUAAAAUGAAAAAAAAUGAAUGAAAUUUUCAUAACCCGACUCCACUCUGACAUGAAGCAAUUCCAUGAAGACUCUACGAGGAGAGUCCAAGGGAGAUAUCUUUUUCAAUUCAACUUUAAUCAAUCGAGUGAUUUUUUCCUCUUGAACUGAGGGACGGAGUACUGUGCAUUGAGGUCAUAUGCAACAGGUGGUAACAGGUAGAAUAGGGGGAUGACUGGUGGGUGAGUCAUGGGGUUGCUCCAGGAAUGCCAAACGUCUCCUCAUGCCAAAACCCCACUACCUUGUCAACUUGGUAAGCACUUUCGCGCCAGUUUACUCCUCACCUCCUCCCUUUCCCCAAGAACCUAUAUACCUGUCUGCAGAUGACUCACCGGGCUACACACACCAGCAUUUCUUCACGGCAAAAUAAUGCCCGCUUGUUUAUUCACCGGGGAAUGAAUUCUAGAGGUACCUUACACUAUCAUCGAUCCCAUGGAAGUAUGUAGGUGAACUCCACUCUGGAAAUUAUACUUGAAAUUCUAAUUUGAA